rnacentral:lncRNA from 1 species
AUGGGUAGAAACACCACCGAGCACUUUCAGGGCUGCUGUGCGUACAGCUCAGUUACUUCUUUAAUUGUUCACACCUGGCCAUUCACUACAUCAAUGCAUGGCUGCCCUUCAUGCAGAGGUGCUUUUGUUUGGGGACAGGGUGAGAAACUGGAAUUUGGUGUCAGGCUGUGGAGGAGAUGCUGGGAUGCCAGUCCUGAGGGAAGGCUCUUCCUUGCUUGGAGGGAAGCAGCAUUUUCCCUGGAGCUGCUCUGGAUGUGGCUCCUGCCUGCAUCCAUUGCCUCCUCCCCCAGACCCGAGCUCCUUCCUGCCUGGCUUCUUGCUGCGCAGCAUCCAGAGACACGCACCAAGCAUAACUCAGAAGUCACCAUGGCUGAGAUGUUGUCCCCAUUGCCUCCAGCUGCUAUCGGUCAGAAGGAUCAGGAGGAGGAGCUGGCAAGCUCCCCAGAACUGCUGCCGAUCUCAACCAUAUUAUUUCAGGGUAUUUUUCUUCAUAUAUUAUUAAUAAAGGAAUGUUGA